GUAGGUGGCAAGCGUUGUCCGGAGUUAUUGGGCGUAAAGCGCGCGCAGGCGGUUCUUUAAGUCUGAUGUGAAAGCCCACGGCUCAACCGUGGAGGGUCAUUGGAAACUGGAGAACUUGAGUACAGAAGAGGAAAGCGGAAUUCCACGUGUAGCGGUGAAAUGCGUAGAGAUGUGGAGGAACACCAGUGGCGAAGGCGGCUUUCUGGUCUGUAACUGACGCUGAGGCGCGAAAGCGUGGGGAGCAAACAGGGAUUAGAUACCCUGGUAGUCCACGCCGUAAACGAUGAGUGCUAAGUGUUAGGGGGGUUUUCCGCCCCCUUAGUGCUGCAGCUAACGCAUUAAGCACUCCGCCUGGGGAUACGGCCGCAAGGCUG
rnacentral:rRNA from 1 species